rnacentral:rRNA from 1 species
ACCUCCAGUCAGUCAAGAAUACCCGCUGAAUUUAAGCAUAUAACUAGGCGGAGGAAAAGAAACUAACAAGGAUUUCCCUAGUAACGGCGAGUGAAGCGGAAAAAGCUCAGACUGAAAAUCUUCGGAAUUGUAGUCUGGAGAAGGUAUUACAGCAAAUGUACCGAGUAAAGUCUCCUGGAACGGAGCGCCACUGAGGGUGACAGCCCCGUUUAUACUCGUGUCAUGAGCGUACGUAUGCCUUUCUACGAGUCGAGUUGUUUGGGAUUGCAGCUCUAAGUGGGUGGUAAAUUCCAUCUAAAGCUAAAUAUAUGUGGGAAGAGG